rnacentral:rRNA from 1 species
AUUGAACGCUGGCGGCAGGCCUAACACAUGCAAGUCGAACGAGAGUCGGACGGGUGAGUAAUGUCUGGGAAACUGCGUGAGGGGGGGGGAUAACUCCUGGAAACGGUAGCUAUUACCGCAUACCAUCAGAUGUGCCCAGAUGGGGUUAGCUCGUGGGUGGGGUAACGGCUCACCAAGGCGACGAUCCCUAGCUGGUCUGAGAGGAUGACCAGCCACACUGGAACUGAGACACGGUCCAGACUCCUACGGGAGGCAGCAGUGGGGAAUAUUGCACAAUGGGCGCAAGCCUGAUGCAGCCAUGCCGCGUGUGUGAAGAAGGCCUUCGGGUUGUAAAGCACUUUCAGCGGGGAGGCGUUACCCGCAGAAGAAGCACCGGCUAACUCCGUGCCAGCAGCCGCGGUAAUUC